rnacentral:lncRNA from 1 species
ACACUAUAUCAUAAAAAUGUUAUCUUUGCUAUAAAUCUUCAGCCAGGUUUGUGAUCAUUUGAACUAAUUACAAAUUACUUGUUUGAGUGUUAGAUUGGCAGAGUUGGAGUCCUGCACUGCUACAAACUAGUUACUACGAAGUAGGCAAGAAGGACAUUCCAAUUAAACAAUAAUGACAGAAGUGACAGAACCCGAUCGAUGAAGGAAGAAGACAAAAUUAAAGAGAUGAAGGUCAACAUAUAUGUACGUUUUAUCGUUUUCCAACGCCAUUAAUUGUUUAUUCCCAACUUUUGCAAGGAAUCUUCUAUCAUUUGCAUUUAAAACAUAAUCGAUUUUCUUAUCCCAACUUGCUGUCUCCUGCCGUCUACUGCUAGCACCUUAAAUCUAGGCAAUGUUCUGAUUUAACUUCAAUCUUUAAUCAAUUAAUCCCCCUCCCCUUCUCCCUCUGCGUCAAAUUCAAAUUCAAACUUACCAAUCAAUUCAUCGAUCGAUAUAUAUACUUGUAUCUUCAUCUUCUUUAAUUUUACUGCUGCUGCUGGAAUCACACACACACAGAAAUCAUAAUAUAUAAAAAUCUAGCUAUGAUGUGUCUGCAUGCAUGUAGCUGCUAGCUUCAAUCAAGGUGAUUAAAUUAUCAUAAACACUAACGAGAAUCUUAGUUCGAGAAUCAAAAACAUGACGAUUGUAUUAUAAUCCAUUCAUCAUCUUAUUGAGUGAGUUUUGGCAGACACUUACAUCAUCAAUUAAGCUCAGUUUUGGACUGAGAUCCGCAAGAUUUGAUUAAUAUAUAUAAUUAAGCAUCGACCACUGCCACGCAUCGCAGAAAUCGAUAUCCAACUCAUACUCUCAUGUAAAUAUUUUCAAUAUUAAUUUUAACAUUUCAUGACAGAUUUGCACACAGGUAGAAAGAAAGAAAGAAAGAAAGAAAGAAAAAAGAUGGAAACAGAAGACACAGAAAUCCAUGCAGGUAAAAGCCAAAUCAGAAACUGAGAAACAAACAUCGGCGCCGGAGAAGAAGGAAACAAAUUAAGACAAAAUAAUCAAAACUACGUACGUAAACACUACAUUUCCCUAAGAUUUUUUCACAACAUUUUAUAUGGUCGGAUAAAUGAAUGGAUG